AUAAAGGGAGUGCUCAGAAAGGAGCGUUCUAGCUGGCUCUGGACCACACAUCUCCGGCUCUUUAGUGCUCCUUUCUUUAGCAUGUUCCACUUACUAAUCUGCACAUCCGGGAGAUGGCCACUGUCCUGCUGUCUGUCUGUGCGUUUUAAAGAGCAUAUUGGUGCUAGAAAAGGCAGCUAGAGUGAGUACAUUUGUAUUGGGGUACAGGAAUGAACCAUCUACAGCAUCUUAAGAAUCCACAAAUGAAGGGAUAUAAAAAUAAAGUGGUCAUAGAUAAGAGACACAGCAACAGUCACUUAACCAUACAAAUGUCGAGGCUUUCAACGAAGAACGGGCUGGAAACAGAAGAUUUGACAAUGAUUUACUCAGUAAGCUUUCUCAGUUGUAAUGACUGCUCCAUCUCCUAUGUAAUCAAGGCCAGUGCUAAGAGUCAGAUGCUAUUAGUCCCUACAUCAGUCAACAACUUACAUUUAUUUUUAUUAAUUUUCAAUCAUAUACCUACUGUGGAUGCUUCGUGUGCUGGCUGCCAGUUUCUUUUUCUCAUUAAAUAUUUUUUAAUUCUUCACAGGAAAUUUCAACUUGAGAUUCAACAGUAAGCAGGUUUUUUUUUUUUCCUAGAGAUUGAUGAUGCGUCCUCAGUCCAGUGGCUGUCAGAUGUCCCGCCCUUUUGACCUUACACAUUCUAUUACAAUGAGUUUUGCAGUUUUGCACAUUUUUUUAAAUGUCAUUAACUGUUAGGGAAUUUUACUUGAAUACAGAAUACAUAUAAUGUGUAUAUUAAAAAGUCAUUGUUUGUGUUAAAAAGAAAUUAGAGUUGCAGUAAAUUUUCAGCACUGCACGAAUAAUAAGGCAUUUAAGUUUUCCAGUAGAAAUUGUCCUACAGAUGCUUUAUUGACUUACUGUUGAAAGGAUAGAUCUCUUUCCAUGUGCAGUGUUGUCACUUCGUUAGAGUGGUAGAGUUGGGAUUAGGGCUUCAAUUCCACUUCUUAAAUAUCAUUAUAUGUUUGAUAUGCCCAGACUGCAUACAAUUUAAAGCAAGAGUACAACUACUAUUGUAAUGGUAAUGUGAAGAUACUAUUGAAAAGGAUCCCCGGCCCCCCCUGGGAAUUUGGUGUCUUUCAAAUUAUAUCUUGACCUUGACAUUUGAAUAUCCAGCCAUUAUAUUUCUUAAUGGUGUGAAGUCCCAUUUUCAAUAACUUAUUGGUGCUGAAAUUGUUCACUAGCUGUGGUCUGACCUAGUUAAUUUACAAGUACAGAUUGCAUAGGACCCACUAGAGAAGCAUUUAUAGUUUGAUGGUAAGUAGAUUAGGCAGAAUGUCAUCUAAAAUAUCCUUAGAAAAUAAUGUUGAUGUAUUUUCCAUACCUCAUCAGUUUCACUCAACCAAUAAAGUUUUUAAAAUUGUAACAAAGCUCUUAGGAUUUACACAUUUAUAUUUGAACAUUGGUACAUGAAUAUUGACUGUUGAUGAAGUGAUAAAGUCAGAGACAACUUUCCCUGAGAUCUCACCAUUGAAAUAUGUAUCCCCCAUGUCUUUUCUCAAAGCUGAAGUGGCUGGCUGCAGUGAGAGCAGCUGUUGAUGUUUGGAGAUAGCGAUGAGCACUGUUUUGUUAGUUCUGGGCACAGCAUGCUAAACUAUACCUUGUAUUGUUCCAGUGUGUAACACAGAGGGCCAGGCCAUGAGCAAUGACAUUACAUGGGCUGUUGCACUGUUAAUAUUCUUCCUUUGGAAUGUGAAGGUCUGAAUGAGGGUUUUGAUUUUGAAUGUUUCAGUGUUUUUGAGAAGCCUUGCUUACAUUUUAUGGUGUAGUCAUUGGAAAUGGAAAAAUGGCAUUAUAUAUAUAUUAUAUAUAUAAAUAUAUAUAUAUUAUACAUACUCUCCUUUAUUUCAGUUACCAUCCCCAUAGAAUUUGACAAGAAUUGCUAUGACUGAAAGGUUUUUGAGUCCUAAUUAAAACUUUAUUUAUGACAGUAUUCACGAUUAGCCUGAACUGCGUUCUGUAGGUAAUCUCUCCCGUGUUUCUGGAAUGCUUUCUUAGACUUUUGGAUGUGCAGCAGCUUACGUGUCUGAAAUGACUUGAAGGCAUCACCUUUAAGAAGUCUUACAGUCGGGCCCCGUACAUCCCAAGUCCUCUGUAAUUCCUCUUGGACAUUUUUUGCCAUAAUUGUCAAAGGGUAGUUGAAUUAAAUAGCGUCACCAUUCUUUGCUGUGGCACAGGUUCUAAACUUAAGUGGAGUUUACCGGCAGCAUCAAAUGUUUCAGCUUUAAAAAUAAAAGUAGGUUACAAGUUCCAUGUUUAGUUUUAGAAAAUUUGUGCAAUAUGUGGAUAACGACGGCUGUGGUUGCCACAAGUGCCUCGUUUGCCUUUAAAUACUGUUAAUGUGUCCUGCAUGCAGGCGGAAGGGGUGGGUCUGUGCACUAAACCGGGCGCUUGGACUCUAGUAUUUGGCAGAGUUGACUCCUACCUGCCAGUUCAAAAGUUCGAUCUGUUUUCAUAUAGAAUAUAUAUACUAAAACAAUCCAGUCUGUACAACAGCCUUACCCUGACCCAGCCUCUUCAGAUACUCUCGUGCUGUGCGGCAGUGGCUCUGUGUAAAUGCUAUGCACUGAGGAUACACAAAUACGACGUGUACAGGAUAAUGCCUCAAACCAAUCAGAUGUCCAUUUGUUACUGUGUUUGUUAACAACCCUUAUCUCUUAGUGUUAUAAACUCCACUUAAAACUGAUUAAAGUCUCAUUCUUGUCAUUGUGUGGGUGUUUUAUUAAAUGAGAGUAUUUAUAAUUCAGAUUGCUUAAAUCCAUUCAACUGUUCAGUAAUGGGCAGACAAGUAUGAUUACAAAGCUCCUGUACA
rnacentral:lncRNA from 1 species